rnacentral:tRNA from 1 species
GCUGGGGUGGCUCAGUGGAUAGAGCAUCGGCCUGUGGACUGAAGGGUCCCGGGUUCGAUUCCCGGUCAGGGCA